GGAGAGUGCAGCUCAGUGGUAGAGUGUGUGCUUAGCAUGCAUGAGGUCCUGGGUUCAAUCCCCAGUCCCUCCA
rnacentral:tRNA from 1 species